UACGUAGGGUGCGAGCGUUGUCCGGAAUCACUGGGCGUAAAGGGCGCGUAGGCGGCUCAUGAAGGCUGUGGUGAAAGUCCGGGGCUCAACCUCGGAUCGGCCGUGGCGACUCGUGGGCUGGAGCACUGUAGAGGCGGGUGGAAUUCCGGGUGUAGCGGUGGAAUGCGUGGAGAUCCGGAAGAACACCAGUGGCGAAGGCGGCCCGCUGGGCAGUGGCUGACGCUGAGGCGCGACAGCGUGGGGAGCAAACAGG
rnacentral:rRNA from 1 species